GACGAACGCUGGCGGCGUGCUUAACACAUGCAAGUCGAACGGAAAGGCCCUGCUUGCAGGGUACUCGAGUGGCGAACGGGUGAGUAACACGUGGGUGAUCUGCCCCGCACUUCGGGAUAAGCUUGGGAAACUGGGUCUAAUACCGGAUAGGAACCAUCUUUAGUGUGGUGGUUGGAAAGUUUUUUCGGUGGAGGAUGAGCUCGCGGCCUAUCAGCUUGUUGGUGGGGUAAUGGCCUAACAAGGCGGCGACGGGUAGCCGGCCUGAGAGGGUGUACGGCCACAUUGGGACUGAGAGACGGCCCAGACUCCUACGGGAGGCAGCAGUGGGGAAUAUUGCACAAUGGGCGCAAGCCUGAUGCAGCGACGCCGCGUGGGGGAUGAAGGCCUUCGGGUGGUAAACUCCUUUCGCGAGGGACGAAGCUUUGUUGUGACGGUACCUAGAUAAGAAGCACCGGCUAACUACGUG
rnacentral:rRNA from 1 species